rnacentral:rRNA from 1 species
GACGUAGGGCGCGAGCGUUGUCCGGAUUUAUUGGGCGUAAAGAGCUCGUAGGCGGCUUGUUGCGUCGUCCGUGAAAACCUGUGGCUCAACCACAGGCUUGCGGUCGAUACGGGCGGGCUGGAGUUCGGUAGGGGAGACUGGAAUUCCGGUGUAGCGGUGAAAUGCGUAGAUAUCGGAAGGAACAUCAGUGGCGAAAGCGACUUCCUGGACCAAUACUGACGCUCAUGUGCGAAAGCGUGGGGAGCAAACAGG